CGCCUGGCCAGUGAACAAUUCAACGGCCGCGGUACCCUAACCGUGCAAAGGUAGCAUAAUCAUUUGUCUAUUAAUUAUAGACCAGUAUGAACGGCAAAAUGAGGGUCUGACUGUCUCUUAUAGUAAAUCAAUUAAACUGAUCUUUUAGUAAAAAAGCUAAAAUUACAACAUAAGACCAGAAGACCCUGUGAAGCUUAAACUAAACUAUUAAACCACAUAAUAGCUACUUUCGGUUGGGGCGACCUUGGAAAAAAAAAGAACUUCCAACAAACAUUAAUUAGGCCAACAAGCCAACAAACUAGACCCAGCAAAGCUGAUAAUUGAACCAAGUUACUCCAGGGAUAACAGCGCAAUCUUCUUCAAGAGUCCAUAUCAAAAAGAAGGUUUACGACCUCGAUGUUGGAUCAGGACAUCCUAAUGGUGCAGAAGCUAUUAAGGGUUCGUUUGUUCAACGAUUAAUAGUCCUACCUGAUCUGAGUUCGGACCGGAGUUUGUCCAACGACUAAGGUCCUACGUGAUCUGAGUUCAAAACCGGAGA
rnacentral:rRNA from 1 species